GGGUUGUGAGGUUAAGCGACUAAGCGUACACGGUGGAUGCCCUGGCAGUCAGAGGCGAUGAAGGACGUGCUAAUCUGCGAAAAGCGUCGGUAAGGUGAUAUGAACCGUUAUAACCGGCGAUGUCCGAAUGGGGAAACCCAGUGCAAUUCGUUGCACUAUCGUUAACUGAAUACAUAGGUUAACGAGGCGAACCGGGGGAACUGAAACAUCUAAGUACCCCGAGGAAAAGAAAUCAACCGAGAUUCCCCCAGUAGCGGCGAGCGAACGGGGAGCAGCCCAGAGUCUGAAUCAGCUUGUGUGUUAGUGGAACGGUCUGGAAAGUCCGACGGUACAGGGUGAUAGUCCCGUACACCAAAAUGCACAGGUUGUGAACUCGAAGAGUAGGGCGGGACACGUGGUAUCCUGUCUGAAUAUGGGGGGACCAUCCUCCAAGGCUAAAUACUCCUGACUGACCGAUAGUGAACCAGUACCGUGAGGGAAAGGCGAAAAGAACCCCGGCGAGGGGAGUGAAAAAGAACCUGAAACCGUGUACGUACAAGCAGUGGGAGCACCUUCGGGUGUGACUGCGUACCUUUUGUAUAAUGGGUCAGCGACUUAUAUUCUGUAGCAAGGUUAACCGUAUAGGGGAGCCGCAGGGAAACCGAGUCUUAACUGGGCGUUAAGUUGCAGGGUAUAGACCCGAAACCCGGUGAUCUAGCCAUGGGCAGGUUGAAGGUUGGGUAACACUAACUGGAGGACCGAACCGACUAAUGUUGAAAAAUUAGCGGAUGACUUGUGGCUGGGGGUGAAAGGCCAAUCAAACCGGGAGAUAGCUGGUUCUCCCCGAAAGCUAUUUAGGUAGCGCCUCGUGAACUCAUCUUCGGGGGUAGAGCACUGUUUCGGCUAGGGGGUCAUCCCGACUUACCAACCCGAUGCAAACUACGAAUACCGAAGAAUGUUAUCACGGGAGACACACGGCGGGUGCUAACGUCCGUCGUGAAGAGGGAAACAACCCAGACCGCCAGCUAAGGUCCCAAAGUCAUGGUUAAGUGGGAAACGAUGUGGGAAGGCACAGACAGCCAGGAUGUUGGCUUAGAAGCAGCCAUCAUUUAAAGAAAGCGUAAUAGCUCACUGGUCGAGUCGGCCUGCGCGGAAGAUGUAACGGGGCUAAACCAUGCACCGAAGCUGCGGCAGCGACACUAUGUGUUGUUGGGUAGGGGAGCGUUCUGUAAGCCUGCGAAGGUGACCUGUGAGGGUUGCUGGAGGUAUCAGAAGUGCGAAUGCUGACAUAAGUAACGAUAAAGCGGGUGAAAAGCCCGCUCGCCGGAAGACCAAGGGUUCCUGUCCAACGUUAAUCGGGGCAGGGUGAGUCGACCCCUAAGGCGAGGCCGAAAGGCGUAGUCGAUGGGAAACAGGUUAAUAUUCCUGUACUUGGUGUUACUGCGAAGGGGGGACGGAGAAGGCUAUGUUAGCCGGGCGACGGUUGUCCCGGUUUAAGCAUGUAGGCUGAUUAUCCAGGCAAAUCCGGAUAAUCAAGGCUGAGGUGUGAUGACGAGGCACUACGGUGCUGAAGUAACAAAUGCCCUGCUUCCAGGAAAAGCCUCUAAGCAUCAGGUAACAUUAAAUCGUACCCCAAACCGACACAGGUGGUCAGGUAGAGAAUACCAAGGCGCUUGAGAGAACUCGGGUGAAGGAACUAGGCAAAAUGGUGCCGUAACUUCGGGAGAAGGCACGCUGGUGUGUAGGUGAAGUCCCUGCGGAUGGAGCUGAGACCAGUCGAAGAUACCAGCUGGCUGCAACUGUUUAUUAAAAACACAGCACUGUGCAAACACGAAAGUGGACGUAUACGGUGUGACGCCUGCCCGGUGCCGGAAGGUUAAUUGAUGGGGUUAUCCGUAAGGAGAAGCUCUUGAUCGAAGCCCCGGUAAACGGCGGCCGUAACUAUAACGGUCCUAAGGUAGCGAAAUUCCUUGUCGGGUAAGUUCCGACCUGCACGAAUGGCGUAAUGAUGGCCAGGCUGUCUCCACCCGAGACUCAGUGAAAUUGAACUCGCUGUGAAGAUGCAGUGUACCCGCGGCAAGACGGAAAGACCCCGUGAACCUUUACUAUAGCUUGACACUGAACAUUGAGCCUUGAUGUGUAGGAUAGGUGGGAGGCUUUGAAGCGUGGACGCCAGUCUGCGUGGAGCCAACCUUGAAAUACCACCCUUUAAUGUUUGAUGUUCUAACGUUGGCCCCUGACCGGGGUUGCGGACAGUGUCUGGUGGGUAGUUUGACUGGGGCGGUCUCCUCCCAAAGCGUAACGGAGGAGCACGAAGGUUAGCUAAUCCUGGUCGGACAUCAGGAGGUUAGUGCAAUGGCAUAAGCUAGCUUGACUGCGAGCGUGACGGCGCGAGCAGGUGCGAAAGCAGGUCAUAGUGAUCCGGUGGUUCUGAAUGGAAGGGCCAUCGCUCAACGGAUAAAAGGUACUCCGGGGAUAACAGGCUGAUACCGCCCAAGAGUUCAUAUCGACGGCGGUGUUUGGCACCUCGAUGUCGGCUCAUCACAUCCUGGGGCUGAAGUAGGUCCCAAGGGUAUGGCUGUUCGCCAUUUAAAGUGGUACGCGAGCUGGGUUUAGAACGUCGUGAGACAGUUCGGUCCCUAUCUGCCGUGGGCGCUGGAGAAUUGAGGGGGGCUGCUCCUAGUACGAGAGGACCGGAGUGGACGCAUCACUGGUGUUCGGGUUGUCAUGCCAAUGGCACUGCCCGGUAGCUAAAUGCGGAAGAGAUAAGUGCUGAAAGCAUCUAAGCACGAAACUUGCCCCGAGAUGAGUUCUCCCUGAGACUUUAAGUCUCCUGAAGGAACGUUAAAGACGAUGACGUUGAUAGGCCGGGUGUGUAAGCGCAGCGAUGCGUUGAGCUAACCGGUACUAAUGAACCGUGAGGCUUAACCUUACAACGCCGAAG
rnacentral:rRNA from 2 species